CUGGGGAGACAAAGGCGGCCGGGCGUGGUUGCCGGCCACCCACCCCCUUCGUGUGACGUUCCGACUUUCACGGGUGCUACUUGCUAACAGCAUUUGUUUCAACAGUCUUGUCUAACUAAAGACAGUUUGCUAAGUUGUGCAUAACAAUUACAGUACUCAUAUUCUUGGUUCUUUCGGUAAAGUCACGUAGAAGGGAAAUAAUAAAAUAAUAAAAAUUCAACAAUAAAAUUCUCACGACGUUUCGAUUGCAACAUCAUCAGGUGUGAAAACCACAGCAAUAAUUUUUUUGAAAAAUAUUACAGUAAUCUACUGCAGUGUUGAUCACCUUUAUCCAGGCGUGAGUUUGCCCUAUUACAAACUUUGCGUUUGUAAUGGGUGCUUUAUGCUAAAAAGUUAUUGCAUAUCGUACCUUCUUCUCCUGCAAGAUGCCUACUUACAGUACUGUAUAUGGUUGCUCAAUUAAUUAUAUGUGUGUGUAAGACAGCCAGAUGGUAGUUGUAUUCUCCUUUCCCCCACAAAUGCAGAUAUUAAUGAUAUUUUCAUUAUGAUGUUUACACACUCGGGCUACAUAUUUGAAUUAAUUAUGUUUAUUUACAAUUAGGUAGGAGCUCUGUGGUGUAAAAACAUUCUCGAGAGUGGCAAACCUGGGGGAAAUGCGGGGAUAGAAGGCAGCGCAAUGGAAAUGUGAAGAGUUGGCAAAGAACCCAACUUCCUAUUUUUUUUUACUGCAAAAACACAUUUCGAUAAAAACUCGACGCUGCACGUCAAGUCCUGUGCUGAGAAAUCAAAGUAAAACAAUAACAAAUGGUGAUAAACUAACAGCAAAGGAUAAAUGCAACACAGUAUUAACAGAGCAGUUCGCCAUGCCCGUCUCUAAUAACUAUAUGAGGGUGCAAAUGAAUUGGGUAACUCCAAUCCGGAAUGAACAGUGAUGGUGCAAAUGCAGAACUAGUUUUCUUUCUGUAUGAUAUCAGUACAGGAAGACAUCUAUGCACAUGUAUGCAAAUGUCAAUGCGUGUGUUAAUGUUAACCAAAAAUACGUCUUAAUAAAAAAAAGCACGUGUAUGUGAAACAUGUAUACGUGUGUAUGUACAAAUAUGUGUUUGUAUGUAUGUGAAAUGUGCACGUGUGUAUCUUGAAUAAAUUCGUUUAUAUGUAAAAAGAUGUGUAUGUAUGUUGAGUAAAUAUGUACCUGUGUAUACGAGUUAACCAUGUGUACGUUCAUAAAAAUCAAUCAACUGGCUGGUUAGCGACUGGCUGAGCGAAAUGUACGCAUACUAAUUCUGAGUUAUUGUUAUUAAAUGUGUGUACGUAUGCACACGCGUGUGGCUUUUAGUCACACACUCAUUGCUGUAGAAAAUUGUUGGUGUUACAACCAUGGAGAGACGCAUGCCCACGGGAAGCAAGGUCAAGUAUUCUGCACAACAUCAUGUAGCAAUUGCUAAAGACAAGAUUUGAUUCUCAAAUCGAAUCACAACGAAUCUCCGAGAAUUGUUCAAUCCCUGUAAGGCCCCUCGGGACGAAUGUGAGUGAACCUCAUUAUUCCCUACUCAAGUCACAUACCAAGCUUCUCAACAAAGACAUCACCAUUGCAUUUACAUGUACAAGCAGCUGUGCAUGAAUAACAUUCAAUUGUGGUUUUUUUACACUUUACAAUCUUCUGUUACAUCAAGAUCAGCAGUUUCUUAGAUCAUGAUCAUAAUGCAAAGGUGAAACCAUGCAUAUAUCUUUUUGUUAUAUUUUUACCCAGUUCUAUAUAAAGCAAAAUCAUGUUCCACCUUAAUUUAAAUAGUAAAACAAAAAAGUACAUACUUUAAUCAAUCCAAUUAAAGGGAGGGGAGGGGGGUGUUUGAGCAUACAUUACCAUCCUGGUUAUUAUCGUACAUGUUAGUGAGGGUGGGGGGGUCCCAGAACCAGUUCAGCUAUAUCACCCCCCCCCACACACACACACUGCUGUGAAUCAAACUCAGGUGAACCCCUUCGUAGUGCAGAGCAAACCACUCGGUCAGUAUCAGUGCUCCUCCCAGUGAUAUAGUACCUUGGGUGAAUGUCAACAGGCAGGCUGGGUGACAUGCUACAGUGUUUGGAUGGUAGCUGAAUCACACGCGGCUCGAGUGGUCAUUUCUAGGUCAAAAAGCACCCCCAAUGUUCCGACUCUGUUGUUUUCGUUGGAUUUUUGUUCCCGAGUCCAGCCUGUCCCAGCAGCUGCCAGUGGCGAGUUUAGUGUUGUUGGUUAAUCAUCAGCCAGCUCCGUCUCCCUGGCUUGAUUUAUUUGCAUGAUGAAGUCAUGCUGCUGCUGCUGCGCCCGGGGAGAGUGCGAGGGAGGCUGGAAGAGGGCACAAUCCCUGUAACAGCCGUGGUUGUAAAAUAGGAUUACGUGAGCCCAGGUAUAUUGGGGUUAAACGAGCGUGGUGCGUCGCCAGCCCACGCAACACUUUGUAUUCGUGCCUGCUUGGCUUUUUAAGUGCCACUUGGCAGGAAAAGCUUGGCACGUGAUCGCAUGAUCAGAUGAGUUGAUCUUCCAUUGCCUCCGACUCCAUUUCCAAGUUCUUAUAGGAACACGAUACACAGGCAGGUAUGAGCAGACCUCCGUUGCGUGUGUCCACAUACACAUACAAAUAAAAUACAGUAUGGUUUUUUUAGCUCUCCAAACCAAAAUCAUGCGGAAGUGUUUUUUUAAGCAAGGAAAACUUUGGACCGGUUUUGACCUUUUGAGUCUCAUCAACAGUUAGGGCUGUUCAGCGAACGCUGUUGAUGUUGCCAGAUGUUAUAUGCCAAGAGCUCUCCGUCUAUUCACGUCCAUGGGGAAGGGAGGCCAUGCUUUGCCCAAACACGUUCUACUUUUGGUCAAGGGGCAAGAUUAAUCUUUGCGGAGGGGGCACAUGAUAUUCUUACAAUAGAAGAUAUGUCUAAAGUAUCAUACGAGUGAGCAAUUGUCGGAGCUGAAUGAUUGGUCUCCCACUGAUACAAACCCCUCGAGACAGAAGAGGGACUUACGGUGAAGCGUUCUGGCAUGAAUUGCAACAUUUUAUACCGUAAUAACGAUUGUAAAAAAAAAAAAGCCUGCCAAAUUUAGUUCCUCCAAGGGCUGAGAUUAGAUGCCUGGGUCAGAGUGACCAAAUAAACAUAACAUGUUCAACCUUGACACUGGCGCUGCUCGUUGCAGGAAAGUGUAAUAAACAACCCAACGGCUUCUAGAAAACUUACAUUGCUGCACUUAAAAUAGCAGCUUGCAAUAAUGUAAUGCUACAAUAAAAUGUCUGUCCUCGUUAAAUUGGUUUUCACAAUAAACUCGUUGUAGCACGUUGAAUCAUGUGGCACGGAGGAGUUUUUUUUUUGUUGCAUUGUUGGAUAACCGUCCGGUAACGUUGCGAACGAUUCAGCCGCUGCAAAAGUUUGUCUGCUUCAAGCUGGGGAGAGAGGCUGUCUGUGCGAUACACUUGCAGUGGGUGUACAGCAAAGACCCCCCCCCCCCCCCUCAUGCCAGCAGUGGCGCGAACAAUCAAUUGCAAAGGCUGAACCUUAACCUUUCACUGCACAAUGACUCUCGUUGAUAAUAUCAACAUCAUGAGCCAUGGUCAAUUCCACUGCUGGAUAAAGGCCUCCUGAAAACGCUUCCUGCUAUGUAACAAUCCACCUAGAAUAUACAAACAAGCUGAUACAAAUCCAGAUUCUAUAGUUUGAUAUUUGUUUAGAAAAACAACUAAUAUUGCGUUCGUCUUGCCUACACAUGUAAAAAGAAACUUCACAUGUGCAUGGGUUUGACCGUGAUGUGCCAAAUUGAUGCUUUUGUAAAAUCGCUGUAACUUACCACAGUUUUACUACAUAUGGCAGGCAUACUUUUAUAUGAGUUCUGAUUAUAACAUUUCGUGAAGCACAUGUGGCAAUCCUUAACUGAAUGAGAACUGCAUGCAACAAUAAAGCCAAGGACCUAUGCUACCGGUCGAAGAUCACGCAUCAAACAACAGCAUCAGCCAGGGUCAAUCCACUGCCUGAAGAAGACCUCCACAUUACACAGGCAUCAAUGGUUUGGGAUCGAACCCACAAUAUGCAUGUCUCUCGCCGUGGUGGCUUGGAUUUUUCUCCAGGUCCUCCGGUCCUUUCCCUCCACCACAUGUAGAAACGUGCGUUUGGAGCAUUUGGCUGCUAUACAUUUUCACCUGAUAAGCCACUUCAUUGAGCUAUCAUUUGUAACAGGUCGCUUAUGAAACAGAGCCAUAUGGCUCAGUAGGCCUUACCUGGUAAUAUAAAAAUAGUAGUAACAGUAAACUGCCUCCCCUUAUGAUCCUGCGAUGUAAUAAUCCACCAAGCACUGGCACAUGAACUGAUUCCAUCACUCCAUCUCCUCGGUGGACGUAAUCUCAGAUGUGUUUCAUUGCUUGGCUGCCUCUCUGUUACUAUGUUUGCCCAUGCGUUAAUAAGGAGACUAAACAAAGGACGGUGAGACCACGUUUUAAGCUAUCGUAUGAGAUUUUACUUUUUCUCACACAAAACGUUCUCAUAAAUUGGCCCUGUCGCCGUAAGAUGCCAUCUAAUCCUCCACACUCACACGUGUUGAACAUCAUUCUUGUGCAGCCAUCAUCUUCAGUGACUCGGGUGACAGCCUUCAAGCUCACUCUGCCCGAAUAUCCUCGCGCGAACUGACAACGCAACCUUUGCUUUUCACUCGUUUUUCCUGAGGCUGAAACUGACACAUGUAUACUUAGGCCAAGGGGCCCUCAGUUAAUGGAGCCACUUCACCUCUGAUGCCAUGACACAUCGGUACGCGCCAAUACAAAAUCAUCACAUACUGUGUUAAAGGUGCCAGAUAUGGGUGCAAAGCAUAAAGGAGACAGAGUGACAAUGGGGCAAUAAAUUUAUAUCGUAAUAAAACCCAUUCUGGCCCGUCUUUAAUAGCCUGAGGCAAGCAGCCAUCCAACAAAACGGGCAGAAUCUUUACCGAGCACAUGAUUGAUGUCAGCUUGACACAUAAGGUAUGGACGAAUGCUACAGAAAAAAAUAGUUAAAGUGGGUAAAGUAUAUAAAAAGCUGCGACUCGUGGAUAAGUAAACUGCCAAAACAUACAAAGACAAAUUUGCCAAGACAGAAUUUUCGUAAUAAAUCACUCCGUAUUUAAAAUAACUAGCAACUCAAUGCAACUGUCCAUAACACUGCUUUAAAAUGAAAUAAAUAUCUAAUAUUUUAAGGCCACAGUGUUACUGACGAAUAUUUUUAAAUUGUUGGUGUUACUUUUGCUUGUGCACUACUGCCAAUGCAGAGGCAUCACCAAAUAAUUGCUGUAGUUUUAAAAAAUAAUUUACAUUUCCUGUGAAAAUGCAACAUACAAUAAAUGAUAUUCCCACCUACCCCUAAUUUUAUUGUAUACAAAAAAUAACUCAAAAUGUGUUAUAUUACUACUUAACAUUGAUAUAAAAUAUGCCUCAGAAUGUCUGUUGGUUAUCUCAUACAAAUAACCUUUCAACGCAAAUGUUUUUAUAUACUGCAAUGUAUACAUUAUACAUAUUCAUGCAAGCACACACACACAGGGGGUUAUUCAUGUAUAGAUACCUCACUGAUUUACGACCCUUGCUUUCUCACGAAACAAAUAAGAUUGGGACAGUGAUGACUACAUCCAUACCUUAUCGAGGAGAUUGUUAACAUAUAUCAUAAUUUCAUUGAAAUAAAAUGUAAUCUCUAUAACCUCCCCCCCCCCCCCCCCCCCAUUAAAUCUACGUUAUUUGAAGCUUUCGUGACUGCAGGAAUCCAUACUCUUUGGUCCCUUCGGUAAAGUCACGUGGUUUUUUAUUUAUACCCACGUGACUUUACCGAAAGAACCAAAGAGUACGUCCCUCCCUAUUAUUUUGUCUGGGUUAAAUACAUUGAUUGCCUCGUAAGUAAUAUUGUUUAUCGCCUUUGUAUAUAUAUUAAUGAAUUGUCUUUAUGCCUGGUAUCCUUUAUACAAUGCAGGUGACCCCCGGCUUACGCUUUCAUGACCUUUAUUAUAGUAAGACCACACAGUAACAAACAAAACUCGAAUCUACGAUCGCCUAACGACUGCUACCGACGCCGAUGUCGCUGCUUUUAAAUUGUUGGUGUUACUUUUGCUUGGCGACCGCUUACGACGGCUCCACUUGCGAUCGUCGUCCAGGAACUAAUUAGGUCGUAGGUACGGUGGUCGCCUGCAACGUUAAAGGAUACUUGAAUUCCCUAAUAAACAUUUUACCAAGAAAAAUUACGCAAUAAGAUAGCAUAUCAAACUCUUUACACUGCUAUAAGCUGAAUAUGGUGAUAUAAUAAUUUUAACUUGCAAUGCACUGCAUAGUAUUUUCCACUCGCUCUCACAGAGAGAGCGACUCAGGCGUGCGAAGAACCCAGGACAAGUGGGAAAGGCAGCUACGCGAGUGGCGGGGGAGUUUUGGGCCACAGAAACGCCACCAUCUGUCCUCAGAAGCACUUUCCAUGCAGAGUCCGUGACUUUCAAGGAUCUGCACGCAUGCGUGGCAGAGCUUGGAGAUGAUGCUGUCAUGUGGCUGGUGUAGACUGUACGUGUCAGCACCUCACUCAUAAUGCUGUAGAUGAUGUCUCCUUUUUUUUACACUCACUUUAUGAUGCCACAUUUCCUUUCUUUUUAGGGGGGGAGACCCCUAAGGGACCAGAUUGCUAAAAAAAACCAACCAUAAUCAUUAAACUGGUGUGUAUUCUUUUUUUUAUUAAAAAGUUACUGCCAGUUAAAUAUUACACUGGCGAUGGUGGCUAGUGUUAUGCAUUCUAACAGGCCGUUAUGGAAACCGUUUAACGUGCAGCCCUUAGCAAUGGUGUCGAAUGUUUGUAAAUUAUCGAAAUAUGACAGGCUAACGUUGAAAAGAGUGCUGUUUUCGAUUGCGCGGCUUUGACACUUUAAUGAGUGCUAUUCGAUUAACGCUGCAGUGAAGUAGGACUCUGUCUUGUGGUGCGUUGAUCGUUUCUUCUCUCAAGCUUUCACCACGCACUACUGCGGGGCAUUUAACAAAAAAACAAUGUUGAAUCGAAGAUGCCUGUAGUAUAAUCCAUGAGCCGAGACGUAAUAUUUCAAUUGUUCGCACAAAUUCAGGUGGCAUAAAUACAGUGCUUUGAAUUCCUCCGUGGCCAAUAAACGUGAAUUGUGCGAUGACAAUUUGAAACGAGGGGGUUAUUAAAUAAUUCAUUUUUAUCAAGCGUAUAAAAAAAACAAUCAGUACCACUAAAGCUUUUUCUAGCAUAGGUUUGGUACCGAAUUCUCUUCUGAUCCAAGGACUAGUAUGCAUGGGGCGAACGCUUGAGAGAAUAAAUGCUCAACACACCGCAGCCCAAUCUGGUAAACACCACACUUGGAUUAGGAAUGGGUGCGAAAUCGUACGCGUUAAAUGACCGCGACACUUGCUCCUCGGCUGGGCGUCAAGAGUCGAGAAAGAAUGCGGUGCGUUUCAACGCUUGAUGUUGGAAAGUGAAGAUUGCUCCAGAACCCUCUAUCCCCUGUCUCAAUCAACCACAUUCAAUAUGAUGGCCCCGGGAGGAAACUCUGGGUUGCAUCUGCACAGCUCAGAGGUGGUCAGAGGGCUGCAGUCUUGGGCUCUUACAAAACACAACAACAGCUACGAGUCAACAAAUGUUGAACAGGCCCGGCUCUGCUAAAGAGACCGACAACGUGGCCCAGAGAUUUCCAGUAAAAAUAAAAUGCUACUGGAGAUAAUGUAUUCAGAAAGCCCCAUAGGUUGAUGGAACUAACUUCUUUUUUACGUGCAUUGCCAUGUCUAUUAUUUUAUUACCCGUACUCCUCCUGCACAAUGGCACACACGAUACGUUAUUGUACAACGCUCCCGGUGGACUGCUGUGAAUGCACCACCCUAACCCUUAAUAUGAAUCAAGAAGAUUGCUCCAGAACCUCGAUCCCCUCUCUCAGUCAACCACAUUCGAUACGAUGACACGUAGGAGUGCAAUCUUCGUCAUCUUAAGCUCGCAGAAUCAGAAAAGCAAAACACAUUGCAUUCGCAAAGCGUUCGUCGUUAUACAGCGGCACUGGGUCAGACUUCAGAGGACCGUUUGCUGCGCCGGCAGCGUGAAAAAAAAACCCCAUCAGUAAUGAUGUGCUCAUUUGUGUGCGCAGAUCUUCCGCUUUCCUACCAAUUAACAAAGCUCAUCCCUGCGCUCUUUUAAGUCUUUAUGUGCGAGAUGUAAAAAAGAGCGAGGGAGGGCCGCUAACGCCCCUGGACCACCAAACCCCCUUUGGUUGACCGCUCUCACUCCAGCAACACAAAUAAUGCAGAACGCCUUUUCAGCUCUUGUACACCCCCCCCCUCAUCCACCACCCAUCCUCACCAAAUGCACGCCAGGCAAUUGAUCAUGCCGAAUUUAUUCGGUCUGGACUCAUUGUCCCGUUUGUUUGCCUAAACGUCCCUUUGUCGUAUUAACGAGCGUUAUUAUGCGGGGAGUAACCUAUCGGGCGAUAACAAGAUAAAAAAAAAUUCCAUUGUUGGCGCAGAACAGAAAAAGAAAGAUUGAGUCAUCUUUAGCGUUCUUUUUUUAUUGCGUCGCCUGAAUUGCUUGAUAUAGCGAGAUGCCGAAAUGCACUUGGCGAGAGAACACCGAGUGUGGAUGCGCACACAACGUGAGGUUAAUGGAUUACAAAAUGAUAACACAGGAGCACUGGUGCAGCACGUGACGUACUGCGGUGUUUCAAUGAACGGUUUUGGUCACGCCGGGCAGUUGCAAGUAAAUCUGAAACGUGGCUUUGAGACUGUAAUUGCAAUGCAGUAAUUGCUCCUCAACCUAAUUAACCGUGAGUGCUGGUUGUGCUUAAUUAGGCAAAAAAAACUACGUUGUUCCAAUAGACGAUGCAGCUGAAUGCACGAGGAGCCUGAAAAAAUGGUCCCUUGAGGUGUCACUUUUUAAGACAGGAACUAGAUUUAUCUAUCGCCGCACCUUUCGUUUAACAACCAGGCAGUUCCUGCGUGCCCUCCCCGAUAUGCUACGACAGUCACUUUUAAAUUAACGGAAACUGUUACCGAUGAAUGCCCCGAGGUUGCAGCCGUGGUGCCGUGCAUUCUGCUCCGUAGAAAUCCCACAAACAAUGCGCAUUAAUGCGACUACAGAAUGGUCGAGUUGUUGUUUACACGAGUUGUCCUAUGCAUCAGCUUACGAUGCACUCCAGUGAGUGCGAUGUUACUUGUUGUCUCGAAUACUUUUUGUUGAUCCUAAGUGCGUGUGUGCUGCUACCUAGGCGCGGUGCUGCUUUCAAGUGUGAUUCAAAAUUACGGACUUGUUUUAUGCUUGUGUGAGAUGCGCUAUAAAGUACAAUACAUGAUCAUGAUAUUGCAGUUGAAUAAAAAAAACAAUAAUGUGUAUUGUUAUGA